CUGCGAUUCCCCGUGCCUGGCAUACAGCCUAGCAUACAGCAACAUAACUAGGAAGAAAUAAAUGGCUUCGGGCAUGCUGGACUUGCGAACACAAAUUUAUGAAGUGACAGCUAGUGUCAUGAUGCUCCUGCCUCAAGAUGACCUCCCAACCCAGAGCCCGGCUGCUUGGAGGGAAGAAAAGAACCAGGCUUUAUUCUGCAGAAUAAAACAACACAGAUGCUGGUGAAUGCACUGUCAGCCCAUGCCUGCCAGCUGGGACCAACAAUAGGAGAGGAGGCACUGGCUGCAUCGCUAACAGAUUUCCAAGAACGCUAUGGGCAGCCAAAAAAGCCAUUUGGGCUUGUUUCUUUUUCCUCUGUUGCCUUUCUGAGAGAUAAAGAGGCUGAUGGAUCAUAAAUGGAGAUAUGAAUUUGAUAACAUUUGGAAA
rnacentral:lncRNA from 1 species